AUCUAACUGAGGAGUCCGAAAUAGGACGAAAUGUGUAUAUUGUAU
rnacentral:hammerhead_ribozyme from 1 species